rnacentral:rRNA from 1 species
CCUACGGGAGGCAGCAGUGGGGAAUAUUGGGCAAUGGGCGCAAGCCUGACCCAGCAACGCCGCGUGAAGGAAGAAGGCUUUCGGGUUGUAAACUUCUUUUCUCAGGGACGAAGCAAGUGACGGUACCUGAGGAAUAAGCCACGGCUAACUACGUGCCAGCAGCCGCGGUAAUACGUAGGUGGCAAGCGUUAUCCGGAUGUACUGGGUGUAAAGGGCGAGUAGGCGGGAAAGCAAGUCAGAUGUGAAAACCAUGGGCUCAACCUGUGGCCUGCAUUUGAAACUGUUUUUCUUGAGUACUGGAGAGGCAGACGGAAUUCCUGGUGUAGCGGUGAAAUGCGUAGAUAUUAGGAGGAACACCAGUGGCGAAGGCGGUCUGCUGGACAGCAACUGACGCUGAGGCGCGAAAGCGUGGGGAGCAAACAGGAUUAGAUACCCGGGUAGUC